GACGAACGCUGGCGGCGUGCCUAAUACAUGCAAGUAGAACGCUGAAGGAGGAGCUUGCUUCUUCGGAUGAGUUGCGAACGGGUGAGUAACGCGUAGGUAACCUGCCUGGUAGCGGGGGAUAACUAUUGGAAACGAUAGCUAAUACCGCAUAAGAGUAGAUGUCGCAUGACAUUUGCUUAAAAGGUGCAAUUGCAUCACUACCAGAUGGACCUGCGUUGUAUUAGCUAGUUGGUGGGGUAAAGGCUCACCAAGGCGACGAUACAUAGCCGACCUGAGAGGGUGAACGGCCACACUGGGACUGAGACACGGCCCAGACUCCUACGGGAGGCAGCAGUAGGGAAUCUUCGGCAAUGGACGGAAGUCUGACCGAGCAACGCCGCGUGAGUGAAGAAGGUUUUCGGAUCGUAAAGCUCUGUUGUAAGAGA
rnacentral:rRNA from 1 species